GUUUUUAUAGUUGAACAACAACGCUGGUUUUUCGAAUCAGAAGUCUAGGUGCGCUAGUGAAAAUU
rnacentral:tRNA from 1 species